AGAGUCCAGAGGCGCAGAUUCAGAAACAGGUACCUUUUGUUCCCUUUCUCUGAACACCGGCGGGUUGUCGUUAAUGUCCUUCACCUCCACGUCCACAUGGAAAACCUGCAGCGGCCUGUCCACGAUCACCUCCAGGUGGAUACUGCACUCCGCGCUCCGCCCGCACAGCUUCUCGCGGUCGAUCCGAGAAUUCACAAACAAAAUGCCAUUCUGCAGAUUUACCUCCAGAAGGUCCCCGUGUCUUUUGGACGCCACCCGGAACAGGCGCGGCACCAGCUCCGCCAGCUCCAGCCCCAGGUCCUGAGCGAUGCGGCCCACGAAGGUGCCGUGUUUGGCCUCCUCGUAGACGGAGUAGUGGAGCUGGCCGCUCCCCACCUCCCAGGCUGCAAGGAGCAGAAGCGAGAGCAGCAGACGCUGGGAUCCCGGGCCUCUUGGUCCGAUAAUCACCAUUGCAGAAAAUGAGGGCCUCUGAGUUGGGACAAUCAGUUUUAAGGGAUCGCUUGCCUGAGGUAUUUUAUGAGCAGUCACCCUUUUCUGUAAGUACAUAUUUAGUAAAUUUUUUCCAGCAUCACAGUCA
ensembl:lncRNA novel transcript, antisense to PCDHA12